ACAUAUUCUGGCAACAUGAAAUCUCUUGACAUCUGUUGUAGUUUAUCCUUGUCUUGCCAGAUAACAAAAAUUUCAUCAUAUACCGGAGAUAAGAGUUUAGCUUCUUGUAUAAGACUACUCAACUUAUUAGUUUCAAUCUCUCUUAAGAUGAGUUCCGCCAGGUCCCUGCCAGCAGGCUACCUAUUGGUAUUCCUUUCACUUGUUUAUAAAACCCGUCUCGAAAUUCAAAGUAUGAGUUAUUACAAAGUAAAUCCACCACUUCUCUAAAAAGGGCUGGGUUCCAAAAUUCUUGGGGCAUAUUUUUCAUCAUAAAUCUAUACAGAUAAAUACAAACAGGUUCUAUCCGAAGAGAG
rnacentral:lncRNA from 1 species